AUGCACAGUCAUUCACACACUCACAUUCACUCACCCACUCACAUUCACUCACCCACUCACUCACACAGUCACUCACCCACUCACAUUCACUCACCCACUCACACAGUCAUUCACACACUCACAAUCACUCACCCACUCACAAUCACUCACCCACUCACUCACACAGUCACUCACCUACUCACAUUCACUCACCCACUCACACAGUCAUUAACCCACUCACAUUCACUCACCCAUUCGCAUUCACUCACUCACACAGUCACUCACCCACUCACAUUCACUCACCCACUCACAUUCACCCACUCACUCACACAGUCACUCACCCACUCACAUUCACUCACCCACUCACACAGUCAUUCACCCACUCACAAUCACUCACCCACUCACAAUCACUCACCUACUCACAUUCACUCACCCAUUCGCAUUCACUCACUCACACAGUCACUCACCCUCUCACAGUCACUCACCCACUCACAUUCACUCACCCACUCACAUUCACCCACUCACUCACUCACACAGUCACUCACCCACUCACAUUCACUCACCCACUCACACAGUCACUCACCUACUCACAUUCACUCACCCAUUCGCAUUCACUCACUCACACAGUCACUCACCCACUCACAGUCACUCACCCACUCACAUUCACUCACCCACUCACAUUCACCCACUCACUCACUCACACAGUCACUCACCCACUCACAUUCACUCACCCACUCACACAGUCACUCACCUACUCACAUUCACUCACCCAUUCGCAUUCACUCACUCACACAGUCACUCACCCACUCACAGUCACUCACCCACUCACAUUCACUCACCCACUCACAUUCACCCACUCACUCACUCACACAGUCACUCACCCACUCACAUUCACUCACCCACUCACACAGUCACUCACCUACUCACAUUCACUCACCCAUUCGCAUUCACUCACUCACACAGUCACUCACCCACUCACAUUCACUCACCCACUCACAUUCACCCACUCACUCACUCACACAGUCACUCACCCACUCACAUUCACUCACCCACUCACACAGUCACUCACCUACUCACAUUCACUCACCCAUUCGCAUUCACUCACUCACACAGUCACUCACCCACUCACAUUCACUCACCCACUCACAUUCACCCACUCACUCACUCACACAGUCACUCACCCACUCACAUUCACUCACCCACUCACACAGUCACUCACCUACUCACAUUCACUCACCCAUUCGCAUUCACUCACUCACACAGUCACUCACCCACUCACACAGUCAUUCACCCACUCACACAGUCACUCACCCACUCACAUUCACCCACUCACCCACUCACUCACACAGUCACUAA
rnacentral:lncRNA from 1 species